UCCUUGCUUAGGGUUUGGCACAAAUUAGGUGGCUAAGAAAUACUUUCUGAUGACUGAAUGAUUGGUAACCAUGAGCUUAGUCAUUUUAGUCUCAUGCUGAGAUAGUUCUAUGAUGAAACUGCAUUGCUGGAAGAUCCUUGAAGACAAAUAUUUUAAGCUUAACAAAGGGGAUUUGUUUUUAAUGUAAAAAGGCAACAGCAGAACUCUAGCAGAAAUAAAAUUGCAAGAAAAAUUCGGUCCUCAUGCUUCAGAGAGUAAACCAAUCACCAUUUCAGGAGGCUACCAGGAAUGUAAUUGGUGAGAUGCUUGCUCCAGGUUCUGGGAUGAUCAGACCCAGGUACCAGCCUGAGGCAUCUGUGGCACCAGGUGAGAGUAACCAUGGACUGAUUAACCACAAGCCAUCUAUUUCUUCAGCUGCUCAGGACCUGCAGUGAGUUCCAGAUGCCAGUUUAUGCAGCAUAAUAUUAUAGGCUGAGUGACCAAAACAUUUGCAAGGACAAGAACUUCUUCGAGGUGCUAAAGUUCUUGUAAAAGGGAGGCAGCAUAAUGAAGUCAUUAAGAAUGGAAUCUGGGACUCCUUCAGUUAAGUACAUUUCUUAUCUUCUCUGGUGAGCCCGUUUCUUCUGUAAAAUGAGGUUAUAAAACUAUUUUCUUUAGAGAUUCCUUUUGAGGAAUAAAUGACUUACUACACACAAAGUACAUAGAGGAGUGACAGCAUAUGCUGAGCAAUUAAUAAUAAUAAUGACAACCUUAUGAUGAUGGUGAUGUUGAUGAGUGAAGGACAGUGAACCACUUAGGUACAUGUGGCACAAACUGGUUUCCUGAUUCAGUCAGGAAAACUAAAUUUCUUCAGCAAAGUUGGAUUUAGUCCAACUUUGGGUUUUUCUUUUUUUUUUUUUUUUCAAGAUUUUAUUUAUUUAUUCAUGAGAGACACACAAAGAGAGAGGGACAGAGACACAGGCAGAGGGAGAAGCAGGCUCCAUGCAGGGAGCCCGACAUGGGACUCAAUCCCAGGACUCUAGGAUCACGCCCUGGGCUGAAGGUGGCGCUAAACCACAGAGCCACCGGGGCUGCCCCACUGGGUUUUUCUAAUCAGUGAAUUGUCUGGCUCAAACAGAUGGACACAUCCAUCAAUCCAUCCAUCCAUCCAUCCAUCCAUCCAUCCAUCCAGUCAGUAAUCACUGAUUGAAUAAAUAUAAGUUGGGAGUCACAGGUUAGAUGUUAGAGGUAUAGUGAUGAAUAGACAUAGUUGGGGUAGGGGAACAAUCAAUGAUUGUAGCUAGUUUGGAUUUCAUGGAGGAGUAACAUUGUAAAUACACAUUGGGUUACUGGCGCUGGGCUGCUAACAUUUUACUUUGCCGAUUCAGGGUGCUUAAAAGAGCCAAUUUCAUUUUCAUUUUCAUCACCACAUCUUAACCCCAAAGCAGUAGAAAGAAUAUGAUAUCAAAAUAGAUGUCUAUAAAAUUAAAUAUAUUUAGCAUUUAGGAGAAAAAGCUAUUAACCUGGCCCAAAAUAGAUGCUUGAUAAUUUCUUGUUGAAUGAACGUACCAUUUCCUUAUUUUCUUCAGGCCUCUACAGACCAGUGAAUCGUUGUUUGCAGACCAGUACUUAGGAAUAUGGAAGAAAGUGGUCUUCUUUUCGUGUAUUUAGAUUAGACUUUGCAGACACCUUUUACUGCGUACCUCUUCAAGGAGAAAACUAGAUGCAGAGGUGUAAGGUUAUCCCUUUAACAGAGGUAGUCAAUGAUGUUUAAAUAAAAACGGCUUUCAAGGGGAAGGCUUGGAGUGUUCUUUGAUAAAUUAUGGGAAUGGAUUUUAGUUCAUAAAUCAAAAAUUUGUAUGAGCUUUUUGUGAAUUUUAUGUGCUUUGUGGUUGAAGGUUAUAUUCCUGAGAGUUUAAACAGAAACUUCAUGGUUAACAGUUAAAUAUCUUAGGGAACACACUGCUGAUGCUCAGUAGAGAUAAUGAGACAGGACCCAUAGACCUAUAACUUGAGAGACCUUUUAUUCACCGGGAUCAUCUUUUAUCAAUUUCCCUUUGUUCACUGUGAUCCUGUUUUUGAGGAAUGUUACUAUUUUCUCACCUUCUAUCCUUUAUCUUUCCAGCACACAACUAUAAUAGACUUGUGUCAGCAGGAUGUUUCUUCCUAAGGCUUAUCAGAUACCACCAUGUGCAACAUUUUCAUUUAAUUUUCACCAAGGCGGAACAAUUUUUUUCUUAAUAGUUUUAUAUGCAUAGGAACCACUGAUCCAGGAUUAGCUAUAAUCCAACUGAAUUCUUAAGAUUGAAAGUAACAACUUUUCUUUUCAUAAGGAUAGAAUAUGUUUAUCUAAUAAAAGGGUGACUUUAUGCUUUUUAAAGUGCCACAAGUUGAAGGACAGCAAAUUAGUGUGGGAUUGGCACAUUGAAAGGGUGUACCUCUCUGCCUUGUGAUUGUCCCCAUAGACUUGGAUUCUCUGGGGCUUUGAGAGGCUGACUGAUGAAUAGUUUUUUUUUUUUUUUCUAGAGAUGUCAAACUUGCAGGAAUGAAGAGUCACAUUUCCUGCAAAUCAGAGAGUCUUCUUAAGGCCUGUCUCAAGUGGGCUGUGACAGACAGACACAGAAUGGUGAUAGGGCCAGGAGUCCACCUUAGCUUCCUUGGGAUAUAGAAAUCAAGUUAUUUCACCAAGAAAUGGCAUUGUUAUCAUUUAAAUUUUCUAUUUUGAUUGAUUUUUCAACUUCCUGUAAUGAAAACAAGUUACUUUUAUAAUCUCUGAAAAAGAGCAUUAUGCUUUUUCAAAUAAGAGGUCAAGUAUUAUAUGCCAAACACCUAAAGUUCUUAAGGAGUAAUUCAUAUUUUUAUUCAAAGCCUAUUUGCUCUCAUUCUAAUGUGUUAGUUAUUGUGUUAUUAGCUUAUAUCAAUGGAAAAAGUGUAAACAGCAGAAGAUAAAAGAAUUUACAGUUGCAAAAGCACCAGUUAUAAUUUCAGAAGAAAACACAUCCUGACAGCAUGAAAAGUGGCAAAAUAUUCUGAAUCUAAACAUAAAAGAACUUUUUUAAACGUAAAAAUUCCAAUCCAUUCCACUGAGUAUAGGGGCAUAAACUUUGUAUUCCUUGAUUCUUUCCCCCCAAAAAAGUAACAUUAUAUUUUAUAUCUUUUAAGUAAGAAGACAGAGAUCUAUGUAUUAUGCAUACAUUUUUUUCUUUUAAAUGUGUUAAAAAGGAAAUUCAUUAUAUAGGUCAUUACAUGGGUUGGUCUUACCUUAUUUGAAUCUCAGCUUCUUCAUCCCUAAAAUGAGUAUAUCAGUCAGUGUUCUUCAGAAGUGUAGAACCAAUAAGAUAUAUAAAAAUGAUUUUUAUUUAUUUAUAUUAUUGAUAAUGAUUGGUUUAUGACAAAUAAUGGUAAAUGAUGAAUUUAUAUUAUAUUUACUUAUGUAUAAUGUGGUUAAUUAUAAGGGAUCAGCCCACAUGAUUAUGGAGGCUGAGAAAUCUCAUGAUCUGCCACCUAUAAGCUAGAGUCCCAGGAAGCCAGUGGUGUAGUUAGAAGGGCUGAGAGACAGAUUCAGUGAUGUAGAUUCCAGCCCAAAUCCUCAAUAGCUGAGAACCAGAAGCACCAAAGGCAGAAGAAGAUUGAUGUCCCAGGUCAAGUAAUCAGGUAGAGAGCUAAUUCAUCCUUCCUCUGCCUCUUUGUUCUAUUCAGGCUCUCAACAGAUAUCAUGUCCACCCUCGCUGGGGAGGAUCAUCUACUUUAAAUGCUAAUCUCUUCCAGAAACACUUUCAUAGACACCCAAAAAUAAUGUUUAAUCAGAUAUCAGAGCAUCUCAUGGCUCAGUCAUGUUGAUGUGUAAAGCUAACCACCAUAUUAAUAUAUGAUGCUAAUGCUACCUGCCAGUCAGUGUCUAACUAGAAUAUAGAAACUACACAGGAAUUAUUAAAGAUGUUUCAUAUAAAAAACUGUACUCUAUAACAGAGGAUUACUGUAAUGAGGGACUGGCUAUUAGGAAGGAAAAAACUCCAAAGAGUAUAAAAAUAGUGAAAGUAAUGGCUGAGAUAGAGCCCCCAGGGAAAGGAUCCUUCAGAACUAAGAUCCAGACCUCAUUGGAAAGGGCAUGGCCAUGGCUCAGUGAAUGGCACAGAAGAUACUGUGGUACCAUGCUUGUAGCUCUUGCCAGAACUCCACUGAGGUGCCAGUGGAAUAUUUUGUGAAGCUGCCUUGGGGAGUAGGGGGUGUUGGGUGGGGUGUGUCAGAAGUUUCUGGAUAAGCAUCCAAAACACAGGAGUCUCUUUAACCCUGUUCUCUAGUUAACACUCUAUCUCUUGCCAGGUAUCCCUGACUCCAAUUGUACUCUGAUAUGAAAUAGGGCAAGUCUCUGGAAAGAGUAUAAUGAAUUUCAAGUCCUUUGAAAAAAAUAAAUUUUGAGCCGGAAGUGAGGAGAGAGUGAGAAGGUGACUUCACAGAGGCUACUACCAUUGAGCUGAAAGAAAGACAUAGUGGCAAGAAGACCAUGAAAUUAAGCAGUAUUGGAUAAAAUGUCACAGAUUCUUGGCACAUGGAGCUAAAUAGAAACAAGUGGAUCAGAAGCCCAGUUAUGCUGAUGAUGGGGAGGAAGUUGGGAGUAUCUCCUCUGAACUAUAUUUUUAAAUCAGUGAACAAAACGAGAAGAGCCAACUGCACAGACUGAGUAUUCAUUUCUCCGUAUCUCAUUGACAUGCAGCUGAGUUAAUACCUUCAGCAUUCCCAACCCUUCUAUCUCGGUGGCCCAUAAUCUCUUCUUUCUGCGAGAGAGGCAAAUAGUAUUUUUGAUCCUGAUUACCUGGAUUAAUAUUGAAAAACCUCUUCAGGCUGGUGUCCUAAAGAAAUUGGAAAAGUUCCCUUUCCAUUUGAAAUGACUUAAACUGUUAGGCUGGAACAAAAGACUCAUCUCUCCGAUAAUCAUCUCACCUUCUUGUCACUCGGAGUCCAAUUAAAUAAAUGACUCCCUGAUCUUUUGUCAAUUGUCAGCAGAUCUGGCUUUCACUUUUAAUCAGCCUGCACAUCAUGUGGACUUUAAAUUUUCUUUUCGCCCUUUCCUUUGUCCAUAAAUAUGAGGAGAGCAGGAGUCGAAAAGAGGUGGUCUAAGAAUAAGAUAAAUAUGCAGAUUUCUCUACGCAUUCUUCAUAUUCCUCCUGAGCCACCUUUUCUCUUUCCUCUGCAAAAAUAGUUGGGCCACUUCCAUUCAGAAAGAUGAUUUUAAAGACUGUUUUUUCUCAUUUUCACUGCUAUUUCUAUCUUUAAAGCACAUAGCUUCCAUUCAAACAACAAAAACAUGCUCUUUAACUGGAAAUUGGUUAGGGGAAAAAUAAGUGCUUGAAAACAGGAAUGUUUUGUCUCUUUGAAAGACUUCAAAGUCUAUCCUCCUCAUCAGUGGCUCAGUCCCAUAAUGAAUGUUUCAUUCUACUCAGAAUGGAUGAGAUCUGAUCCUUUUUCUCAAGAAAAAGUCCUUGACUCAAGGAGGAAUGCAAGACAAGGGGACACUGGAAGAGUAAACAGAAAUAUAACAAAAGAGGAAAUAAAGAUACAGUAGCAUCACACACAUUUAUGUAGAGACUGGAAUUCAGUCACGCCCUGCAAUGCAAGCAGCAGUGCCAUUGGGAGGGGAGUCUGGAAGUUACAGUCUUUUCUGGAAGCAGUACAGAUGUCCUGCCUGGCUCCUGGGAUAAGUUUACCUACCAUCUUUUCUUUAUCUUCAACUCAGAUGCAAAUGUAAGCUUUCGAUUAAUGUGAGUCAAGACCAAAAGCAAAAUGACAAAGGAGAGUUAAAAAUAGCUUGUAAGCCUUUUAUUUUUAGCACUAUGACCUACCAGUAUUCUACUACCCUACUCCUCACCACACACACACCAAAUGUUGCUAGGCAAAAUUUAACAAGACACUUGGAUUGUAUGGCUGAGUUUUGAAGCUAGAAAAUGAAAAUCCCUGAGAGGAAGGUGAAAAUCAAAGCACUGAGCUCUCUCAGGGGCAUUUGGUGGAUUUUGUGACAGAUUUUAAUUGCCCUUUGGAGUGGUAGACAAAGACUUGCACUCCAGAAGGUGGGGGAAUCAAAGAACUUUUCCAUGUACAACCAGUAUCCUCACAUUUGGUGAAAGGGUGAACUAAGAAAAAAUAUGUAUAUAACUUACUAGCUGAGCUAUACUAUGAGGAAAACUACCUAUGUUUGCUUUGGUGGUGGUAGAAUUAAAAAAAGCCCUGUUUGAGAGUUUGUAACCCAAGGCCUGGCCCCAUUUCAUUCAGUAUUUUGAAGAGAUAAUGUUUACCUGUUGAGAACACUGGAGGUGAUCGUGCAUGUUAGCAUAGUCCCCAGGGAACACUGAAUGAAGCAAAUGCAUAUCCUCUCAGUAGAGCCAUGCUCUCUACAUAGGACAUGAGUAGGUGUCAUUGGAAUUAACAGAAAGGAAAUUAGGUCCCCCAAGAACUAUAAAUGGAACAUCAAGAUUCAUCUGACUUUCUUAAAGGUAUAAUACAAAUAGUUCUAAAAAAGAAAGAUGAAAUAAAUCUAUGAUCAAUUAAUAAGAUAGUAGAACAAAGCAGGCAGGUUGAGAAAAGAAUCAAAAUAUACUUUCUGAAAAUAAAAAAUAUAAUUGCAAUGAAUCAUUUCAUAGAUAAGUUAAAGAAUAGACAGAAGAGAAAAUUUAUGAACUAAAAGCUAGACAUAAUGGAAUUCUUCAGAAUACAGCAAAAAGAGGUAAAAACGGAAAUCUGAAAGCGGUGUUAGAGGAUGGAGAACAGAAUGAGAAGCUGUCACAUACAUUCCACUAGUAUCUAGAAGACAAAAUAGAAAAAAUGGAGAGGCAACAUUCAAAGAGACAAUGAGUGAGAAUUUCCAGAAUUGAAAAGAGAUAUGAAUCUAUAAAAUACAGUUGACCCUUGGACAAUGAUUGGGUUAUGGGUGCUGACACCUUGUGUCUUUGAAAUCCACAUAGAAAUCUUGACUCUCUAAAAACUCUACUAUCAAAAGCCUACUGUUUUUUUUUUUUUAAAGAUUUUAUUUAUUCAUGAGAGACAGAGAGAGAGAGAGGCAGAGACACAGGCGGAGUGACAUUGAGGGAGCCCGACGUGGGACUCGAUCCCGGGACUCCAGAAUCACACCCUGGGCGUAAGGCAGGUGCUUAACCACUGAGCACUCAGCGAUCCCCAUCAAAAGCCUACUGUUGAUUGGAAGCCUUACCAAUAACAUAAACAGUCAAUCGACACAUAUUUUGAAUGCUAUAUGUAUUCCAUACUGUAUUCUUACAAUAUAAAGUAAGCCAGAGAAAAGAAAAUGUUGUUAAAAAAUCAUAAGGAAGAGAAAAUGCAUUUACAGUAGUGUAAAUGAUAUUUAGUAGUCAAUCAGUGCUGUACUGACUGAAAAGAAAUAUCCUCAUAAAAGUGGACCUGAACAGCUCAAACCCAUGUUAUUCAAGGGUCAGCUGCACCUAAGCAGGAUGCAUUCCUUUUAAAGAAAUCUCCACGUAAUCACAUUGUAAUGAAAUUGUACAAUACCAAAGACCUUAAAAGCUGCCAGAAAGAAAAGACAGAUUACUUGCAAUGAAAUCACUCUGAGUGGUUUUCUCUACAAUAGUAAGAAAGAAAAGAGGAAAAAAUGCUUGGAACAUAAAAGCAGAAUAGAGAGCUCAAACUGGUUGGAAUCAAUCUAAAUAAGCCAGUAUUUACAAUAAAAUCAGUGAACUAAAACUAUUACAAAAACAUUCUUCACUGAAGAAUUUUAUGUGAUUAUUUUCCCUAAGCAGCACAAAUUAGUCUUUUGCUAUCAAUGAGGCCAUUCAUUCAUUAAAUAUGAAUAAAUUCACUUCGCUAUUUCCAGUAUCUAGUAGGCAUAUAAUGCCUACUAUGUUCCAGGCAUUAUUUAUUUUAUGUGCUGGAGAUAGCAAAGUGAAUAAAUGUGGUGAAGUCUCUGUUGUCAUGGAUCCUACAUUCUUUCAAAAAGCCAUUCACUAACUGGCUAUAAUGUACAAGGUAUUUCUUAAAAGAUAUCGCAUUUAAAAAAAAAAAAGACAAAGGUUUUUGAGCCAAGGAUAUUUUGUAAUUUUCCUGUAAGAAAAUUAAAAUUAAAACUUCCUCAUUUUUAUUUAAAUAAGUAACAAAACCAUAAAUAAAUGACAAAACCCUGUAACCAAGAUUAUGAACUGUACUUUUACAACAAGAUCAUAGUUCAUAGCGUUUUUGCUUCUACAUUAAUAAUAUCUGAAAAUUUUCUGCCGAAACAGCCUACUGAGAGAUGAGUAAACGUCAAAUAAUUAAGCUUAAUUCAAUAAUUAAGUCCAUUAGGUAAUCCCAUCUUAUUGGACAAGGAAAUGAUCCAAAAAUUAAGAAAUUAAACCUCUAGAAUUUAUUUCCAGUUGACUAGAAGAGCAUCCAAAAGCUCCUCAGAAGUAGGAACUGUGUCUGUUCUGUUGAGGCUCCUAUGCCCAGGAUGUAGCACACUUCCUGGCAUGAAGUGAGUACUCAAUAAAUAUUGAUUGAAUACCAUACUGUGAAUGAAUGACCACUGCAAGUCAAGUAAACUAAAUGGCACCAUGGAAGGCCAAUCAGAAAAAUAGAAAUCAAAAUUAAUUCCAUUUUCCUGUCUACAUUCUAGAGGACUAGAGAAAAUAAAUGAGGACAUAGGAAAAUAUGUAUGAUCCUUUAAAUGAAACCUUAUAUGAAUUAAGCUGUGAUGGUUAUUAUAGUUUUAAGUUUUAUGAUCUGAAUUUGUUCUUCACCCAAUUGUGUUAAAUAACAGAAUAAGUAGAGAAAACCGAGUCUUACCAUACUUGUCAGCUAGAAUCACUCAUUGGCAAAUCUUCUGUCUGUCUGGGAUUAAAUGGAUAAUGCAGUGUGUAUAAUGUAAAGGAAAAUUAAAUACAAUGGCUGUCUACCUCUGAUAAAAAAAAUAUCUUUAACAUUUGCUGAUCUCUUCAU